rnacentral:rRNA from 1 species
GAUGAACGCUCGCGGGAGGCCUAACACAUGCAAGCCGAGCGGUAUUGUUUCUUCGGAAUUGAGAGAGCGGCGUACGGGUGCGUAACACGUGUGCAACCUGCCUUUAUCUGGGGGAUAGCCUUUCGAAAGGAAGAUUAAUACUCCAUAAUAUAUUGAACGGCAUCGUUUAAUAUUGAAAGCUCCGGCGGAUAGAGAUGGGCACGCGCAAGAUUAGCUAGUUGGUGAGGUAACGGCUCACCAAGGCCAUGAUCUUUAGGGGGCAUGAGAGGGUGAUCCACCAGACUGGUACUGAGACACGGACCAGACUGGUACGGGAGGCAGCAGUUAGGAAUAUUGGUCAAUGGAUGCAAGCCUGAACCAGCCAUCCCGCGUGAAGGACGACUGCCCUAUGUGUUGUAAACUUCUUUUAUAUAGGGAUAAACCUACCCUCGAGAGAGUAGCUGAAGGUACUAUACGAAUAAGCACCGGCUAACUCCGUG